rnacentral:rRNA from 1 species
UACGUAUGGUGCAAGCGUUAUCCGGAUUUACUGGGUGUAAAGGGUGAGUAGGCGGUCAUGCAAGUCAUAUGUGAAAUGUCAGGGCUUAACCUUGGCGCUGCAUAAGAAACUGUAUGACUAGAGCGCAGGAGAGGUAAGCGGAAUUCCUAGUGUAGCGGUGAAAUGCGUAGAUAUUAGGAAGAACACCGGUGGCGAAGGCGGCUUACUGGACUGUUACUGACGCUGAGUCACGAAAGCGUGGGGAGCAAACAGG